UACGAAGGGGGCUAGCGUUGCUCGGAAUUACUGGGCGUAAAGGGCGCGUAGGCGGGUUAUCAAGUUGGAGGUGAAAGCCCAGGGCUCAACCUUGGAAUUGCCUUCAAAACUGAUAGCCUAGAGUAUGAUAGAGGUAUGUGGAACUCCGAGUGUAGAGGUGAAAUUCGUAGAUAUUCGGAAGAACACCAGUGGCGAAGGCGACAUACUGGGUCAUGACUGACGCUGAGGCUCGAAAGCGUGGGGAGCAAACAGG
rnacentral:rRNA from 1 species